rnacentral:lncRNA from 1 species
AGAGAAGCCACAUAAUGAUCACCAUUAUGACUGCUUAGAUGUAACUUUGGGAUCUAACUAGACUUUCUAGAUCCCUUAGGCUUAAGUCUUCUAUUUGACCACAAAUAUUGAGUGCAUGUGCAUGUUAUGUUUGUCUGUUAAGUUCUCCUUCCUUCUUCUCCUGGCAAUAAUAUCCUCCUUUCUUUUAUAGAACUACACGUCCCUCACUCAAAACGCAGAGUUCUAGGGGAAUCGGCCAGUCUGAGGAGGGCAGAUAGCUGAGGCAGGACUACCCUCUUGUACCCUCUCCUUGUACCUAGAGGUGCUGUAUUUCUACUGCUGGCCCUUCAAUCCACUUCUCUCCCCCACUCUGAGUCCAGGCUUCUGACAUUUAGUUCAUGGCUGCACCAAUAGAGACUGACAUUGAUUCUAACAAUAUUUUUAAUUGAAAUUGUAACCAGUUAUUCAGAAGCUCUAAAAUAAUUACAGUAUCCAGCAUGGAUGGAGCACUUGCUGAGCGCAAGCACCAUCCAACCAACGAGGCCAGGACGGAGGCGGAGAACACUCAGGUGCAGCGAGUUGCCCAGGCCUCACACCUCCUGAAUGACUGCACUUGAGAAAUGGCCCUAGGGGCUAUGUCAGGAAAGCAUGUGGGGCUCCUUGGAGGUUUCUGAGUUCAGUCAGAUAUUUAACCUCACUUGCCUCCCUUGCCUAGAGUUUCAAACUCCUGUGCUGCAUGUGGUUACAAGGGGUAUCAGGUCAGCUCCCUAGGUCCCAGAUGAGUAGCUCUCUAACUGAUGAGUCUCUUUAAAUACACAGUUGUCCCUCUGUACUCAUGGGUUCUGCAUCCAUGACUUCAACCAACUGUGGAUCAAGGACAGGUUCAUCUGUAUUAAACACGUAUAGACCUUUCUUCUUGUCUAUAUUCCCCAAACAGACCAGGGCAUUGUUAUGCCUGCCUUCCUGUGAGCCUUCAUGUCCUCCUUCUCCUGGGGUAGCCCUCACAGCUGUGUCCCUACACUGCAAAGGGCCCCAUCUCCUGGUUGAUAGAUGGUAGGGACCUCUUUCUUGACCUGCGCAGCUGCUGCAUUGAGAGACAGAAUAUACAGACGGCAGCCAGCCCACAGAUGACAGCAGAACCGUGACCUGCCAUCUGCAGCAGACAGUCCAGGAAGCCAAACCACAGUGUCCACAGCAAUCUGCCCAGAACGGUCAGGAUGUCAUCAAUAACUACUGGCUUCCCUACUUUUUCCUGCUGCUUCCAAUUUAGGACUAGAGAAAGCCCAACAUGCUCCCCUAACCAAUCAAUGGGAUGCCUCGCUUCUGGUGAGCUACCUGAGGCUUCCCCAGGCUUGCAGCCUUCAUUGGGGCACACCUGGAGCCUCUCCUCCUCCACUGUGAAGCUUUCCACUCCUCUGCCUGCCUUCAGUCUCUGCCAAACACUAGGAAUGGCAGCCGCCUGCUUUUCUACAGCAAGCCCUGAAUAGCCUUUGCUUGUUCUCAUGGGGUGGUCUUUGUUUAUUUCCACAUCGUUUUCAUUUUAACCAGUCCUUAGGUCUUUCUGUUGGCAUCCUUCCCACCCCUGCCUUCAGACAGCCUUCACCACUCUCUCUGAGGCCUGUGCACCAGCCUCAAAUCUGUGCCACUUCGGCAGGAAUGGCCCUGCUCAGCAAGUCUCAGCCUUUCCCUGCAGUGACUUCUCUGUCUCCUCAUCAGGCAGCUCAAUUCUAUGGCAUGGGAGAUCUCCAAUCACUGCCGAGACACCCACAGAACCUCAUUUUAGCCCCGGUGCUGGGGAAGUGGUUGCCAUAGCGAUGGAUGCAGCAGGCAGACAUAGGAAGGGCUCACUGCAGCCAGCGCACACCAGGAGGGGCCAGGCCUUCUGUUUGAUCUGCACUGCUCACUGCACCCCCAACCCCCAGCCCCCACCGCCAACAGCAAAAUGGGGGCUGGGAGCAGGAAUCAUCCACAGCCCUCACGCUGGGCUCCUUGUCUUAGCACACCCACCCCUCCUCACCAUGUUGGCUGUUAAUGGUUGGUGUCACUUGGUUAUGCAGCUUAGACUGUGUUGCUUAGCAACGAAAUAACAAACAGCAUAAAUCGUGUCUCUAUUGAAUCUCCA